CAACAUCCAGAUCUGAAAUUGACACUUCUGCUGUACAAAGUACCUCACUCCACAACCAGGCAAAAUACAUUGUUUAUGAGUCUUCUCUAAUGGAACUGUUUGAGUAUUGUCCUGUAUGCAAACGGAGGUGUGAGGUCAAGACAAGGAGGUUGGGGACCUUCCUGGCUGUGGAACAGCUCUGCACACACUGUCUGUGUUUCUAAAGAUGGAAUAGCCAACCUUUAGUUGGUAGUACCCCAGCAGGCAACAUUCAUCUGUCUGCUGCAAUUUACAUCAGUGGCGCUUCGUAUUUCAAAUUUCAAAAUAUUGCAAGGGCGAUGAAGCUCUAUAUGUUCGAAUUUAACACUUUCCGGCGACAUUCCAGGAGCUUUGUGGAACCUGCUAUCAUCAGUGUCUGGAAAACCUGGCAGAAUUCCAUACUCCUUCGCCUAAGUCAGAAGGACAAGGUUAUUGUUGGAGGUGAUAUGAGGGCUGACUCGCCAGGGCACUCGGCUAAAUAUGGAAGCUACACCAUGGUGAAACUCACGACCAACAAAGUGGUGGAUUUGCAGUUGGUUCAGAGUAAUGAGGUCGGUGGAAGCUACAAUAUGGAGAAAGAGGGAUUAAGCUUGGCAAAAAUGUCACAGCAUGGAGUCAAAUUGGAUUCAAUAGUAACUGAUCGCCAUCCAGCCAUUCAGAAAUUUUUGAGAGAGAGAAGAUAAUGCAAUUCUACGAUGUGUG